rnacentral:rRNA from 1 species
GUCACGCUGUGACUAGCAUAUCAAUAAGCGGAGGAAAAGAAACUAACAAGGAUUCCCCUAGUAACGGCGAGUGAAGCGGGAAGAGCUCAAAUUUGAAAUCUUAAAGGGUUUCCCUUUACGAAUUGUAGUUUAAAGAAGUGUUUUCUGUUGAGGUUUUGGUAAAAGUUCUUUGGAAUAGGACAUCAUAGAGGGUGAGAAUCCCGUAUUUGACCUUUACUUUCAACUUUGUGAUACACUUUCAAAGAGUCGGAUUGUUUGGGAAUGCAGUCCAAAAUGGGUGGUAAAUUUCAUCUAAAGCUAAAUAUUGGCGAGAGACCGAUAGCGAACAAGUACCGUGAGGGAAAGAUGAAAAGAACUUUGAAAAGAGAGUUAAACAGUACGUGAAAUUGUCAAAAGGGAAGCGUUUGACACCAGUGUUGUUUUUCUGAAAAUCAAUUAAAGAACUGUUUAUGCUAAGUUGUUUAGACUUUAUCAGCUAACUGUUUAGUUUUGAGCUUUUCUUUAAUGCACUUUUCAGUUAACAAGUCAACAUCAAUUUCUUUUGCUGUAAAAAAGCUUGAGGAAGGUGGCUUGAGAUUCGUCUUAAGUGUUUAUAGCCUCUUGCCUAUGCAGUCGGAGAGAUUGAGGUCUGCAGCGUAGAUCCUUCGGGGCUAAAUGCAUUUGUGCUAAGUUAUAGCAUUUUAUAGACAACUUGUUGACUAUGAUUUGUCUUGUAGCUUACUCGCUUAUGUUAUUUUACCUACGCUUAGGAUGUUGACAGCAGUAUAGACUGU